rnacentral:rRNA from 1 species
UACGAGUGCCUCAAGCGUUAUCCGGAAUUAUUGGGCGUAAAGGUUGGGUAGGUGGUCGUGUUAGUCUUCUGUUAAAUUCUUCGGCUUAACCGGGGGCAUGCAGAAGAAACGGCACGACUCGAGGAUGCGAGGGGUCUGCGGAACUCAUAGUGUAGCGGUGAAAUGCGUUGAUAUUAUGGGGAACACCAAAAGCGAAGGCAGCAGACUGGAGCACUCCUGACACUGAAACACGAAAGCGUGGGUCGCGAAUGGG